rnacentral:rRNA from 1 species
AACGAACGCUGGCGGCAUGCCUAACACAUGCAAGUCGAACGAGACCUUCGGGUCUAGUGGCGCACGGGUGCGUAACGCGUGGGAACCUUCCCUUAGGUUCGGAAUAACUCCCCGAAAGGGGUGCUAAUACCGGAUAAUGUCUUCGGACCAAAGAUUUAUCGCCUUUGGAUGGGCCCGCGUUGGAUUAGCUAGUUGGUAGGGUAAAAGCCUACCAAGGCGACGAUCCAUAGCUGGUCUGAGAGGAUGAUCAGCCACACUGGGACUGGGACACGGCCCAGACUCCUACGGGAGGCAGCAGUGGGGAAUAUUGGACGAUGGGCGAAAGCCUGAUCCAGCAAUGCCGCGUGAGUGAUGAAGGCCUUAGGGUUGUAAAGCUCUUUUACCCGGGAUGAUAAUGACAGUACCGGGAGAAUAAGCUCCGGCUAACUCCGUG